UACGUUUCUGGAGUAACGUUCACAUGUAAAUGUGAACGUUAUGUAUUUUUAUAAAGCUUUUUUUUAUUCUACCAUGUUGAUUCUUAGAAGUGCAGUAAGUCUAAAUAUGAAAUACCAUGAUCUCGUUUUUUUUGGACAAUAUAAAACUGAUUGAGCAUGAGUAAUGUAGAUACUAUAAAAAAUAAUUCUGUAUAUCAUGCAUGUAUCAGCUGAAAAGACUGGAUAAAGAAGAACUGCAUUCUGAUUACCUAAGACUUUCCACCGCAUUGAACUUUAUUGCAAAUCAAAUCUUAUAUUGUUAAAUUAAACAUCACAAAUGAUUGCCAUUUUGCCAGGGUUUCAACAAUUGUAUAGAAGGGAAUUUAGAUAAAUGAAGUCCUAAUGCUUGAUAAAUGCAUUUAAUAUAUACUGGUCUCUUGCCUCCCCUGUAUGAAGCACUAAAUUGGUAUGGACCUAUUAGUAUUUUGUGCAAACACAAGUGAAUGCAUAACUUAUGUUAUAGUCUGCCUCCACUAGACAUAGUGUCCCUAUAGUACUGUAGAGGUAUAUUGAAUAAGUACACAAUAAAAUGUCCAGUGCUAAUUCAACUCUAAAUAGAUAACAUUUGGCCCCUGGGGCUGUAUUAAUAUGAAGUCUAUAAAAUCCACACUAUAGCCUGGAAAAUCGGACGCACUUGUGUGUUAAACAUUAAAUAGUUUCCACUUCCCCAGGGUAUGAAAACGCAAACUGCCAUGCUUGCAAAACGUUUGAGAAUAAAGCUUCAUGCCACAUUUCAAACUCGAUUUAAAAGUUUAUCAUUGUAACAUUAAGAAUGGGAGUGCAUCCGCGCAGAUUCUUCUGUCAAAAUACCUAAAUGUUGUCAUUAUAUUAAAGUACAGUGCUGUUGUAUGACAUUUCAUUAAUUAUUUUCUUAACGAUGGCUUCAACCGGGGCCGUCUGUAUUAAACUUGUAGGAAUCACAGGUAGGUCCCUCUUGUAGACAUAAAACGCACCUGCAACAGAGUACCCGGCUGUCCGCGCACCUGUCACCCGUCACCAUUAAAGCACGGGAAAAAUACAGCUCUCGGUUAUGUUUAGGAACACAAAUUCGGUAGUUCUGGAAGUUGUAAGUAAUCGCCUUUUUAUUAUCUUAAUCGGGUAUGGUAUAAAUCUGAGAAAGCAUUCAAUUAACUCCAAUAUUUUUGCGCAAAUGUUCGAUUUAUUUGCACAUGUGAACGUAGUAAAGUCGGCUUUAAAUGUCGGCCUUAUAAAACUGCGCAUGCGAAAGGUCACCAAACGCAGUGAACUGGAUGUUGUUUGUAUAUCUUUAUGCGCGGGGGGGGGAUCAGUACAGUUAAACCAGCAACAUUAAUUCUGAGACACUUGUGGUUUUAAGCGAUAGGGAUAGUAGGGAAACACCCAGGUGGGUAUGACUGUGGCAUGCCUGCGACGAUUGAACAUGUUAUUAUAAUGUAAAAUACAGGAAAGUAAGAUGGUAUUCAACGUUAUUUUAGAAUUAGGACUUUCCUUUUUCUUUUGUAACUUUGCUUUUUUCAAACAAGAAGAAGCAGUAACUAUUUGAAAGGAAAGUUGGAUUUGUUUGUAUGCAACUGGACUAUGUGCACGGAUGCAUCUGAGGAUCAGGAGCUGAGCAGACUCCACUGGCUACCGGUCGCUGCCAGGACCAGGUUCAAAGUCCAGAUCCUCGCCUACCCUGCAGCCAACAGGACACCCCCCACCUACUUACAGGACAUGAUUCAAUCCUACGCGCCAGCUCGACCACUCCACUCUGUGGCAACAGGGCCACUUGCACCCCUGCCAUUCGGAUGACUGAGAUAAUUUGAGCAAUCUGGGAUAAUUAUCAACUUAAAUCCCCCUCUUUCAUGCCACACAUGUACCUCCUGUGCCACUUUCAUGUUAUAUGUACCUCCAUCCUGCACUUAUACUGUACUUUGUAUCAUUAUCUUUAUGUUGUAGCUUGUCAUACCUCCUAGUUUUUCUUAGCAUAGGUUAGGUCAGAGUAAUGUUUAAUGUGUGAACUGGACUUAAUGUGUUCAUGGCUGUGAAUAACUGUUACAAAAUUAGUAUUGUACCUUACUGGACCUGUGUUUUGUAGUUGUUCCAAUGAUCUUCGGUAUGCACAUUGUACGUCACUUCAGAUAAAAACGUCUGCCGAAUAUAUGUAAUACAAUGUAAUGUAAUAUCAGGAGUUUGCCUCCCUCUGCUGGACAGAAAAUGGCAUUACAGCAAAGGAAGUCUGAUUUAAAAAAAUGUUGCAAUGUAUAUGUCGAUUUUUUGUAUGGUUAUCAAAUGUAUGUGGAUUUUAAUGCUGCAAACAAGUUGCCCUCUGGAGAUAAUAAAGAUCUACUGAAACCAAAA